CACACAAGUAAACGAUGAAAUACUCGCUGUAUGCGAAUAUACUGCAAGGCGACCAAGCGAAAGCGUUUAGUAUUCCACCUGGGGAGUACGCCGGGCAACGGUGAAACUCAAAGGAAUUGACGGGGGCCGCACAAGCGGAGGAACAUGUGGUUUAAUUCGAUGAUACGCGAGGAACCUUACCCGGGCUUGAAUUGCAACCGAAUUAUCCGGAGACGGGUAAGCCGCAAGGCGGUUUGUGAAGGUGCUGCAUGGUUGUCGUCAGCUCGUGCCGUGAGGUGUCGGCUUAAGUGCCAUAACGAGCGCAACCCUUAUCCACAGUUACCAUCAGGUGAUGCUGGGGACUCUGUGGAGACUGCCGUCGUAAGAUGCGAGGAAGGGGGGGAUGACGUCAAAUCAGCACGGCCCUUACGUCCGGGGCUACACACGUGUUACAAUGGGGGGUACAGCAGGCAGCUCGGCGGCGACGCCCGGCCAAUCCCUAAAUCCCCUCUCAGUUCGGACUGGAGUCUGCAACCCGACUCCACGAAGCUGGAUUCGCCAGUAAUCGCGCAUCAGCCACGGCGCGGUGAAUACGUUCCCGGGCCUUGUACACACCGCCCGUCAAGCCAUGAAAGCCGGGGGUACCUGAAGUGCGUAACCGUUUAGGAGCGCCCUAGGGUAAAACCGGUGAUUGGGGCUAAGUCGUAACAAGGUAACCGUA
rnacentral:rRNA from 1 species